ensembl:lncRNA
AUCUCUUUCUGGAGAUCCCUUCCUUGGGAUCCUACAAUGAUGCAUUGACAACUUUGCUUAGAGAUAUUGGAAGAGAUUUGGAAUACAAGCAGUUAAAAUCUAUAUACCUUAAUUUGUGUUUUAUAUUUUUUUUCAUGUUGAUUACUUGAAGUUCAUUAACAUCCAUUUAAAUGAAAGCAAAAAUUCUCCUUUGUUAUUUGCCAUAUAAACUUACGGCAGGAUAUUUUAUGUUGAUUUUAUUUUUUGCGACUUUGUCUGUAAUUCUGAAUUUCUACUACCUAUAUAUUUUUACAGUGAUUAAACUAUGAUGUCAUAAAAAAAGGGCAGGUGGUGUUUUAGGUGUAACAGAGCUUUGGCAUCGAGCAGAAAUUGAUAUUUGAGAGGGGAAUAAUUUUUUACAUUUGUUAACAGAAUUUUGGUUAUUCCCCUUGAUACAGGGUUAUUCAGCAGACUAAAUUCUGUUUUAAUGACUUUUGUUUUAUUUGUUUAUAGAAGCCCUUAAUUGAACUGAAUGUUAUUUUAGUAGUUAGACUACAGAUAAAUUUACCCCCAUUCUUUUUCACUAUUUUGCUAUGUGUGCUACACUAAACAAGAAUCUGCUGAAUCUAAAUUUCUCUUCUUAAAUCUAUCUUGCUGUGAGCAGUAGUGGAAAAAAUGAGUGAGAUCAUAUAUAUCCUUGUAUUGAAGUGAUAUCAUAGACUCAUAUAAUGGUCUUGUUAGGAACAGACCUCAAAGAUUGAGCCCGAACUUCAAUCUAUCCUACGAAGUCCUGUCACCAAACUAUGUCCUUUAGGGCAACAUCCGCACAGCUCUUAAAUACCUCCAGUGAUGGGGUCUCCUCUACUGCUCUAGGAAUGCAUCCCAACAUUAAUCAACUUCUCUGUGAAGAAUUCUUCCUGGAGGCAACUUGUAGCAGUGAUAACGCAAUGCUCGUGGCUGGGUGGGGAGGAGAGUACUAUAGAAAGUAUCAAGAUGUAAAAAUGAGCAAUGGCCUUUGCCUCCUACUACUGUUUAAGUUUCCAUUAUACCUAUUUUUAUAGGUGAGAGUGGAGUAAAAGUGAACAGAAAUAACUGCAUGUGUGCUUUUCACAGGAAGUCAUUAAAAGCAGAUGUAAAAUCUCUCCUGCU